rnacentral:rRNA from 1 species
UACGUAGGGGGCAAGCGUUGUCCGGAAUCAUUGGGCGUAAAGCGCGUGUAGGCGGCCCGGUAAGUCCGCUGUGAAAGUCCAGGGCUCAACCCUGGGAUGCCGGUGGAUACUGUCGGGCUCGAGUCCGGAAGAGGAGUGUGGAAUUCCUGGUGUAGCGGUGAAAUGCGCAGAUAUCAGGAAGAACACCCGUGGCUAAGGCGGCUCUCUAGUACGGUACUGACGCUGAGACGCGAAAGCGUGGGGAGCGAACAGG